GGCAGCCAUUAUUUUGUCUAAAAAACUUCAAAUUAUGAAAUUUUCUUCUCCUCUCUUCUUACGGAAGAAGCUAGAAUUUUUAUGGUUGAGUAAUUUUAUUAUGGUCGAUGGUGGUGAUGGUGGCGCCGUUAGUGUUCGAUGGUGGAGAAUGUUUGGCCAUUCACACUAAAUCUCACAAGUAUAUACUUUGUAUGGUUCUAUGUUUUUUAUAUAUUUUUCUUUUGUUACAUAGAAACCAUUUUUUUAUAGGAAAUCAAUUGAUACUACUUCAAAGAUUGAAGGAAAGGCAUAGAGAAGGGCAGAGGAAGAAGACUCCUCUUUACCCAUCGAUUUUCUUCAAAAGCCGAUUCUUUCCGCUUUAAAAAAACGAUUGAAGGGAAUGGCAUAGAGAAAGGGAGGGGAAGCAGAGCAAAAGGACUGAUCUUAUCAUAGUCCAAUAAUGAAAAUGAUCAAAGAUAAUCCCAGAUCGCAGUGAGAACUUUGCAGAUUUUAUCAGAUUAUAAGGCUUCAACAAUGAGUGGAAAUUAAUUUGGAAGGCGGCACCACACAAAGUUUUUGUUUUGUUUAACUAUUGCAAAAAUGUUUAAUUUUUCAUAUAUAACAUGUGUAAAUGAAUGGGUGCUUCUGUGAAUAGGUAUCCUUCGAAUAAUUAUGUUGUUUUGUAUAAUUGUUGUAAAUGGUUUCUUUUCAGUUGUGUAUGAAUAAAUGUCUGUUAAAGUUAACUUGUUUUUGAGUAUA